AACGAACGCUGGCGGCAUGCCUAACACAUGCAAGUCGAACGAGACCUUCGGGUCUAGUGGCGCACGGGUGCGUAACGCGUGGGAACCUGCCCUUAGGUUCGGAAUAACUCCCCGAAAGGGGUGCUAAUACCGGAUAAUGUCUUCGGACCAAAGAUUUAUCGCCUUUGGAUGGGCCCGCGUUGGAUUAGCUAGUUGGUAGGGUAAAAGCCUACCAAGGCGACGAUCCAUAGCUGGUCUGAGAGCAUGAUCAGCCACACUGGGACUGAGACACGGCCCAGACUCCUACGGGAAGCAGCAGUGGGGAAUAUUGGACAAUGGGCGAAAGCCUGAUCCAGCAAUGCCGCGUGAGUGAUGAAGGCCUUAGGGUUGUAAAGCUCUUUUACCCGGGAUGAUAAUGACAGUACCGGGAGAAUAAGCUCCGGCUAACUCCGUG
rnacentral:rRNA from 1 species